rnacentral:lncRNA from 1 species
AUAAUAUUUAACAUGCCCCCAAAUUUUUUUAUUUCAAAUAUACCCUUCAUAUAUUUCUCUGUUAUUCAAAAAUACCCUCACUGUUAAUAUAUGUUACAGCUUAAACUCGGGUUAAAUUUUUACCUGAGUUAAAUAAUCAAAAUACCUAUUUUGUCCUUAACUUAAAAGUAAAUAAGAAAAGCUGCUGGUGGUAGAAUGAUAUAUUUAAAAUAUAAAAAAAUUAAAAUACUUAUUUGCCCCUAUAUUAAGGGCAAAUAAAAAAAAAGUACGUGACGAUAGAAUGGUAUUUUUAAAAAGACAAAAUAGUAAUUUUACAGAGAUAACAAUUGUGCUAACAGUUCACUAACAGAAUUUAUGACGGUAGAAUGGUAUUUUUAAAAGGACAAAAUAGUAAUUUUACAGAGAUAACAGUUGUGCUAAUAGUUCACUAAGAGAAUUUAACUCUAGAAGUAUAUUUGAAAUAACUUAAAACGUUAAAAAUAUAUUUUUAAUAUUAACUUUCUAAAAAGGAUAAAUCAUAAAAUUGAAAACCUUUCAGGGAUAUACGAGCAAUUGUCUUUUUAUUAUUUGAUAGAGACCUUUGCUUAUUUAUCGUCUUUAUUGUAAUUUUUAAAUUUAUUAUGAAAUUAUCAAAAUAUUCUUCUAAAAUUCAAUUCUAUAUGUUAAUUUUAAAAAAAUGGAGAUAUUUGAAGAAAGUUUUUAAAAUUAAUCAGGAUAUUUUGGUCCUUCAGAGAUACAUAAAUAUUUUUAAAGUUUUGAAAAACAUAUUAGAUAUUAUUCCUUAAUUAUUUUUUAAAUUUUUAAAAUUGUUGAAAUCAAGUCCACAAUAUAAUUUAGUCGACUAAUUGCUGAAGCAUCGUUUAUGUAAUUAAAAGUAAUAUAACAUCUUAAUUAUUGGGCACGUCAUCGGUCACAAUUUACUGUUGCGCUGUUUCUAAAUUAGCAAUAUAGUAAUAUUUAGUCAAUUAAAUUAGAUUAUAAGAAGACUUGAUUCCAAUAAUUUUGAAAGUUUGAGAUAGUAAAAAUAAUAAAAUAAUAUUCGAUAAUCAAACGUGCAAUUACCCUACUGAUAACAUCAGACUUAAAUUCUAAACAUAAUAAUUAAAUUUUAAAUUUUAAAUUUUUAAAAUAUGAAUGCCAACACAUCA